rnacentral:rRNA from 1 species
UACAGAGGUCCCAAGCGUUGUUCGGAUUCACUGGGCGUAAAGGGUGCGUAGGUGGCCGGGUAAGUCUGACGUGAAAUCUCCGAGCCUAACUCGGAAACUGCAUCGGAUACUAUCCGGCUUGAGGAUUGGAGGGGGGACUGGAAUACUUGGUGUAGCAGUGAAAUGCGUAGAUAUUGGGAGGAACACCAGUGGCGAAGGCGGCUACCUGGACCGGUUCUGACGCUGAGGCGCGAAAGCGUGGGUAGCAAACAGG